UACGUAGGGCGCAAGCGUUAUCCGGAAUUAUUGGGCGUAAAGAGCUCGUAGGCGGUUUGUCGCGUCUGCCGUGAAAGUCCGGGGCUCAACUCCGGAUCUGCGGUGGGUACGGGCAGACUAGAGUGAUGUAGGGGAGACUGGAAUUCCUGGUGUAGCGGUGAAAUGCGCAGAUAUCAGGAGGAACACCGAUGGCGAAGGGAGGUCUCUGGGCAUUAACUGACGCUGAGGAGCGAAAGCAUGGGGAGCGAACAGG
rnacentral:rRNA from 1 species